GAAUCUUGCACAAUGUACGAAAGUAUGAUGCAGCGACGCCGCGUGAAGGAUGAAGGCCCUUGGGUCGUAAACUUCUUUUAUCGGGGAAGAAUAAAUGACGGUACCCGAUGAAUAAGCCACGGCUAACUACGUGCCAGCAGCCGCGGUAAUACGUAGGUGGCAAGCGUUGUCCGGAUUUACUGGGCGUAAAGAGUAUGUAGGCGGACAUUUAAGUAGAAAGUGAAAGGCUCGAGCUUAACUCGGACACUGCUUUCUAUACUGGAUGUCUUGAGUGCCGGAGAGGAAAGCGGAACGACACGUGUAGCGGUGAAAUGCGUUGAUAUGUGUCGGAACACCAAUGGCGAAGGCAGCUUUCUGGACGGAGCCGCAAGGCUUACAACUGACGCUGAGAUACGAAAGCGUGGGUAGCGAACAG
rnacentral:rRNA from 1 species